rnacentral:rRNA from 1 species
UACGUAGGGGGCAAGCGUUGUCCGGAUUUAUUGGGCGUAAAGAGCGUGUAGGCGGCUUUACAGGUCCGUUGUGAAAACUCGAGGCUCAACCUCGAGACGCCGGUGGAAACCGUAAAGCUAGAGUCCGGAAGAGGAGAGUGGAAUUCCUGGUGUAGCGGUGAAAUGACGCAGAUAUCAGGAGGAACACCCGUGGCGAAAGCGGCUCUCUGGGACGGUACUGACGCUGAGACGCGAAAGCGUGGGGAGCGAACAGG